UUUACUCCUCACUCUGAGCUGUUCUCUGCAUCCUUCUGAUUUCUGUACUUAAUUUAUACCAUACAUAUUUUUACUUCUGGUACAUCACAUCAUAAAAGAUUCUUCCUUUGUUCUGCUUCCCCAGUUAAACAACAUGCUUGGAAGUUACCACUAGGUGGCAGCACAGGAGAUAGCCAGGCCUUGAACUGAACUUUGAUUGGCAUGACUCAAGGGUAAACCAAGCCAGAGAAAGACACCAGGACACAAUGCCAGAUAUCCCCUCAUAGGAGAUCCAGGCCAAUGGAAUUUGCAAUGCAACGGGCAUGGAAAGGGGAAUGGAGGAGGAGAAAGAGAAGAAAACUCAAAUGUGACUUUAGGGAGUAAGGAUCCACCU